GAGGGCGAGAGGGGUUGGAUUUUGCCACGCGCAGGAGGAACCUGAGCGCCUUCUCUCGGACGCAGCACCCACGGCUCUGCCUCAGCGCAACUCCCCGCUCACACCCUGCGGCCAGAUUCAAAGUCAGAAGGUUGAAACAUUGGAUAUUUACAGAUGUUCAGAACUUCCCAUGAUUAGGAAUUGAUCCACUAAAGAAGACUCAAGAUAUACAGCAUAGUUUGCACUGUAUCAAACUACCUCAAGGAUAAGAACAGACCACCUAAUGAGUGGAGCUGAAAGCACAGUGAAGCAAUUGUAA